GACGAACGCUGGCGGUGCGCUUAACACAUGCAAGUCGAACGGUAAGGCCCUUUCGGGGGUACACGAGUGGCGAACGGGUGAGUAACACGUGAGUAACCUGCCCUCAUCUCUGGGAUAACAGUCGGAAACGGUUGCUAAUACUGGAUAUGAGCCUGCAAGGCAUCUUGUGGGUUGGAAAGAUUUUUUGGUUGGGGAUGGACUCGCGGCCUAUCAGCUUGUUGGUGAGGUAGUGGCUCACCAAGGCUUCGACGGGUAGCCGGCCUGAGAGGGCGACCGGCCACAUUGGGACUGAGAUACGGCCCAAACUCCUACGGGAGGCAGCAGUGGGGAAUAUUGCACAAUGGACGGAAGUCUGAUGCAGCAACGCCGCGUGCGGGAUGACGGCCUUCGGGUUGUAAACCGCUUUCAAUUGUGACGAAGCUUUUUGUGACGGUAGCAGUAGAAGAAGCACCGGCUAACUACGUG
rnacentral:rRNA from 1 species